GCCCCUGAAGUGCUGUGCCUGGAGAUACCAUCGUGGACCCUGGAGAGGCACCCUGCAGCUUAUGCGGUAAAACCUCGACCACCCCAGACCUGGUCAGUUUGAGGGGAGCUGCUACCACAGUAUCCACUGAGGCCGGGGUUCCGGUCGUGUGGAGCAGCAGAGGGGAGUCUCGACAAGGUCACCUCCUCCACAGAGAGAACUGGCAGCUGACUGCACUGCCAGGAGCCAAGGCUUGGGUGUGUGGAGCCUGGAAGACCAGGGACACCUGAGGCAGGAGGUGCAGCGUGUGGAGUGGGGAACCCGAGACGGACUGGGGCCUGUGCUCAGGAUCAGGCAGGCAGAGUGGAGAGGGAGAGACGGAGCCCUGGAAGGGGAGCAGGAGGAGGGGGAGUAGUGGCAGCAGCCCAGGCCAGGCGUGUGUCCUGCAAGUGCUAGGACCAGCUACCCCUCCCCAUGGCCUCCAAGCCGGCUGCCGGGAAGAGCGGAGGGGAGAAGCGGAAGAGGGUGGUGCUGACGCUGAAGGAGAAGAUUGACAUCUGUACGCGCCUGGAGAAGGGCGAGAGCCGGAAGGCACUGAUGCAGGAGUACAACGUGGGCAUGUCCACCCUCUACGACAUCAGGGCCCACAAGGCACAGCUGCUUCGGUUCUUCGCCAGCUCGGACUCCAACAAGGCACUGGAGCAGCGGCGCACGCUGCACACGCCCAAGCUGGAGCACCUGGACCGCGUCCUGUACGAGUGGUUCCUGGGGAAGCGCUCCGAGGGCGUCCCCGUGUCAGGCCCCAUGCUCAUCGAGAAGGCCAAGGACUUCUACGAGCAGAUGCAGCUCACUGAGCCCUGUGUGUUCUCUGGAGGGUGGCUUUGGCGCUUUAAGGCCAGACACGGCAUUAAAAAGCUAGAUGCAUCCAGUGAGAAGCAGGCAGCCGACCACCAGGCCGCGGAGCAGUUCUGUGGGUUUUUCAGGAGCUUGGCUGCCGAGCACGGGCUGUCCCCCGAGCAGGUUUACAAUGCUGAUGAGACCGGCCUUUUCUGGCGGUGCCUGCCAAAUCCCACUCCAGAAGGCGGGGCCGUGCCUGGCCUCAAGCAGAGCAAGGACCGGCUGACCGUGCUGAUGUGUGCCAACGCCACAGGCUCCCACAGGCUCAAGCCCUUGGCCAUCGGGAAAUGCAGCGGCCCCAGGGCUUUCAAAGGCAUCCAGCACCUGCCUGUCGCCUAUAAGGCCCAGGGGAGUGCCUGGGUGGACAAGGAGAUUUUUUCCGAUUGGUUCCAUCAUAUCUUUGUGCCCUCGGUGAGAGAGCACUUCAGAACCAUAGGUUUGCCGGAAGACAGCAAGGCCGUUCUCUUGCUGGACAGCUCCCGGGCUCACCCGCAGGAGGCCGAGCUGGUGUCCAGUAAUGUUUUCACCAUCUUCCUGCCUGCCAGCGUGGCCUCAUUGGUGCAGCCCAUGGAGCAGGGCAUUCGGAGAGACUUCAUGAGGAACUUCAUUAACCCUCCGACCCCCCUCCAGGGCCCUCACGCCCGCUACAAUAUGAAUGAUGCCAUAUUCAGCAUGGCCUGUGCCUGGAAUGCAAUUCCCAGUCACGUCUUCAGGCGGGCCUGGAGGAAGCUGUGGCCAUCAGUUGUGUUUGCUGAAGGCUCCUCCUCUGAGGAGGAGGUGGAGGCAGAGCACUUCCAAGCGAAGCCCCACAACACAUCCUUUGCGCACAUCCUGGAGCUUGUGAAGGAAGGCUCCUCCUGCCCGGGCCAGCUUCGCCAGCGCCAGGCCGCCGGCUGGGGUGUAGCAGGAAGGGAGGCAGAAGGGGGACAACCCCCUGCUGCCACGUUGCCAGCAGAGGUUGUGUGGGGUUCAGAAAAGACUCCGAAAGCUGACCAAGACGGUGGAGGAGAUCCUGGUGAGGGUGAGGAGGCGGCCUGGGAGCAGGCAGCCGUGGCCUUCGACGCAGUCCUGCGCUUUGCGGAGCGGCAGCCGUGCUUCAGUGCACAGGAAGUGGGGCAGCUGCGAGCGCUGCGCGCCGUGUUCCGGAGCCAGCAGCAGGUGAGGAGGAGGCGUGGCGCCCUUGGGGCUGUGGUCAAGGUUGAAGCCCUCCAGGAGGGCCCUGGUGGCUGUGGGGCCACGGCUCACUCUCCCUUGCCCUGCUCAUCCACAACAGGUGACAACUGAUGGCUUCUCUGCCCUGCCCUGGCCACUGGCCCUGUUUCUCCACGCACCCUGGAGUGGCAUGGUCCUGUGCCCCGACCCCACCUGAGGCAGGAGGGCAUGUGCAGACACUCAAGAGCCCUUCCAGGAGCGGGUCGCCCACGGUGUGGCUCGGGUGCUCAGGACAGUGUGUGCCCGAGGUUCCUGUCAAUACAGGUUUUAUCACUUGCCAUGUCAUCCGAAAGUGAGGAAAUGUUUUGGAAGGGUCCACCCUAGCCUAGAACAAGCCAGAGCCUCACUCUGGCUGGAAUGGGGGCCAGGCUGGGCUGAUCUGGCCUCGUGUUCGCUGGCUGAUCAUUGCAGUAUCAGAGGGUGGAGAUGUCUGUCUGUCCAUGUGGAGAGAAGUUGCCCUCCAGGCCGACAGGAGGCCAUGCCCACCGCCCCUGGACAAGCUUCGUCUCAGAAGGCUCUAUCUGCUGGGCUGGCGGCCAUCCCCUUGUUGGGUGGACCCCGGCAAGGUGCCUGAGGGCCGAUGGCCGAGAGCUAGGACUCAGUUCUUGGCCUGCUCUCGGCUGAAGAGGGCGCACGUCUCACUUCAGUCGUGGCCUCGUUCAGCAGAAUGACUGGAACCAUCCUCUGUUACCCGCAGAUCCCAUCCCAUGGGCUCUGGCCCCAGGAUGUGGGGGGCCCCACGGAGAGUUGACUUGGUAGAGUUUCUUUCCGUGAAGAAAGUAGGAGUGGCUGACCAGGCCCUGCUCAUCACCCGGAUACAGGACACAGACCCUGCGUGGUAUUUUGGCAUUUUGGCUCAGAGUGCAAUGUGCCAUGUUGCCCGGAAUUUCAUACUUACGGCCUUUACAUGAAUACAUCUUGAUCAGACGUUCAGAGAUUAGUCUUAGGUUUGCACGUAAGUCACUGGAAACAGUAAAACAGGUUGCUUAGAUUUCCAGCAAUUAUAUUUGUGCUCUUAUCCCCAGCUGUUAGCACGUUAGUAAUACCUUGGGGGAGGAGUUGUCUGUCCUGGUCAGUGUUCACAGACGCGGUUGUAAGAGGAUGUGGUGAUUUUCUCCACGUCUGUAGCUGCUUUGCAGCAUCUGCAUUUCACGGGCAGCACUCGCUUCCUGCAGCUGAAAUUCCAGAAUGCCCUGUGUCCACAGUGAUUAGCCUCGUCUUUGAGCGAGCAUGAAAUAGGUGCAUUGUUCUUUUUUUUCAUUCUUGAGGCAGGGUCUCACUCUGUUGACCAGGCUGGAGUGAAGUGGUAUGAUCACAGCUCACUGCAGCCUCGACCUCCCUGGCUUGAGUGAUCCUCCCACCCCAGCCUCCUGAGUACCUGGGACUAGAGGCGUGCACCGUGACGCCUACCUUUUAAUUUUUUUGUAGAGACAGUCUCACUGUGUUGCCGAGGCUAGUCUUGAACUCUUGGCCUCAAGCGAUCCUCCCUCCUCAGCCUCCCACAGUGCUGGGAUUACAGGCGUGAGCCCCAGCACUCGGCCUAAAUGGGUUUUUCUUGCUAUGUUAUUUUCAGUGCUUUGCUCUUGAAUUCUUUUCCCCUCUUAAAUUUGUAUCAUUUGGCUGAGUCAGCACGUAGUUUGCAUUCCAGCGUCUGCUGUUGAUUCCACUGAAACCUUUGUUCUCAUGAGGGAGAGGAUUUGGCUCGCUGUGGUUUCUUGUAUUUUCACAUCUCUGCCGAUACAGGGGCAAAAGUCAUUGCUGACAGAGCCCUGCCUGUCUCCUGGGAGUGUGUGUUUCUUGCUUUGAAUGCAUGUGUGAUGGUUAUAAAAGCCAAAUAGUUUCUAAAGAUCUCGGUGCUGAAUGACAGUCCCAGUUGUUCCCAUUUGGGUCCCGUUGCCUUCGUGGUGUCACCCCACUGUUUGCUUCCUGUGUCUGGGGAACUUCUGCACAUCCGUGUACUUCGUGCCAUUUCUGGGCUCACGUGUCACUCCUAGCAGAGCCUCAUAACCAAGAUUGCUGGAUUGCGGCUGCUUGAGGCAACGCAGGAGGUUAGAACAUGUCUCGAGGGCUCUGAAGCAGCAGGACAUCCUGGGUGGGUGGAGCUGAGGAGGGCACGGGGCAGGCCUGCCGAGCUCCUGGCUGGCUCUCCUGAAUCCUCUGGAGAUGGCUUGUCCCUGUCAGACUGUAGCUCUUCAGGACCUGAGCUCUUCCCGCUCUUGACCUGCUUCUGUGCUGACUGUGCUGGGCUCAUGGGUAGACAUUUGUCCCCAGUGAGUGGCUGUGUCCUCAGGGUGCCCCUCUUUGAGACUAACUGCAACAAGGCUUGGAACCUGACUCUAGGCACAGCCCCUGUGGCUGGAAUCCCUUGUGCCACCCAGGGGACUUGGGCCCUGCUCCUCCUGCAGUCCCUCCUCACCUGGGCUCGCUGCUGCGGGUCUCCCUGGAGUGAGGUUUUUAGGGAGCCCAGAGCUUACUCAUCUCUGCGCUGCUGGGCCCAGCUGCCUGCUGCGUACUUCCUGCCUCCAUCCUGUCCCCCGGAACGCUUUGUGGAGACUGCUGUUUCCUCCGAACACUUUGUUUUCACUUCCUGACCAGUCUCAGAAGCUCAAGUGGUGGAAUGUUUUAGCCUCAGAAUCUUGUUCCCCAAGCCCUCUCAGGUGGAUCCCCGCUGCACCAGACACCACAGCACAGCCCUGUGAGGCUGUGUCUCCUCACUCCGUUUCUGGGGCUGCUGAGGCCCCUGGGAAGCCCUGGAGCUUGCCAGAGCAGAGCGUGCAAGUCUCUGGUCCCGUUUAAAUGCCUCUCCCUUUUAUCUGUGAAUACGGGGCUGGAGCCACUCCUUAUCUUCUCACCGUGCCCCUACAGGUCAUGGCCUCAGUUCUCCAGUGGCUACUGGGGCAGUGGGUGCUGCGACGUCUGGUUUGGGACCUCUGUGGCUGCUUCCAGCCUGCUAGUAGAACGAACCUCUUUGUACCACCACAUUCUUCUCUGGUGGUGCCCCUGAGGGCUCAGGCCUGAAGGCACUCCUUUGUCCUCAGUUGGGACAGGCAGCCUCCACUCUGGGAGCUCCCAUCCCUCAGGGUGCCCAGGAGAGGCCAUACUUUCAGGGUGGCACGGUGAAUUCAGGGAUUGGGAUUGGUAGGUGGUCUUUCAGCCCCUUCUACCUUGGAUUGGUUUACAGAACACCUGUCCUGCCUGUGCCAGCCUGGAUCUCCGUGGGCACCCCCGGCACGCUGUGCUGAAGGUUGUCUGCCUCCUGCAUAGGAGGAUCUAGAGCGGACCUUGCCCUGGGCCCGUCUG